rnacentral:lncRNA from 1 species
UUGAUUCCAAAAACCCCAAACCCUACAAGUCUAGCAAACUACAAACCUAUUAGUUUGUGUUCGGUCCUAUAUAAAAUUGUGGCAAAGAAAAUUGCUAAUUGACUUCAAGCAAUAAUUAGGAAAUGUAUUGAUAAGCCCAGAGUGCUUUUAUCCCAGGCAAACUGAUUUCAGAUAACGUGUUUUUAGCUCAUGAGAUUUUGCAUACUUUUCGUAAUAAGUGCAUAGGGAAAAAAGGAUAUAUGGCAGUCAAGCUUGAUAUAAGAAAAGCCUAUGAGAGUUAAGUGGAGUUUUCUUAAAGAAGUAAUGUUAAGGAUGGGUUUUGCAAAGGAAUGGGUGAAGCUAAUCAUGAAAUGCAUUACCACAACGUCUUAUGCAGUGAAUAUAAAUGGGGGAAGAGGAAGAAUUUUUCAAUCCACUAGAGGCUUGCGUCAGGGAGAUCCUCUAAGUCCUUUCCUUUUUCUAUUAUGCAGUGAUGGUCUUUCAUUGUUGAUGCGAUUGGCAAUGAAAGAGGGCCUGCUAAAAGGUGAAAAGGUUAGUAAGAGAGGUCUAGAGAUAUCACAUCUACUUUUUGCAGAUGAUUGUAUACUGUUCGGGGAAGCAUCAGACAGGGGAGCGAGAAUACUAAAAGAAAUUCUAAAGAAGUAUGAAAAGUGCUCAGGUCAAUGCAUAAAUUUUGAUAAAUCUACUAUCUUCUACAGUUCGAACACAUCAAAAGAAAAGAAAGGUGAAGUCUUGGCAAUCUUAGGGAUAAGAAUAUCAACAAACAUGAAAAAGUACCUAGGCCUCCCUAAUAUGGUUGGCAAAAGAAAGGAGUCUUUUCAAAAUAUUAAAGAGAAGAUUCACUCCAGAAUUGAAGGAUGGAGCACAAAAUUUUUAUCACAAGGAGGUAAGAAAGUAUUCAUAAAAUCAGUGCUUCAGGUUAUCCCAACCAAUGCUAUGUCCGGUUUUCUUUUACCAAAAUCUUUUUAUAGAGAAUUGGAAAGCAUUUUUUCUAAAUUCUGGUGGCAAAAAGCACAUGGGUAAAAAGGAAUUCAUUGGUGUCAGUGGAAGUAUCUGUGUCGACCUAAAGAAGAGGGGGAAUGGGAUUUAGGAGAAUGAUCCAAUUUAAUGUCUCAUUAUUAGCUAAGCAAUGAUGGAGAAUGCUAAACAAUCCAAAUUCUUUAGUUGCACAAGUUCUAAAAGCAAAAUACUUUUCGAGUGAAUUUUUUAGAUGCGCGUUUUAGGAAUAAUUGUUCGUAUGCAUGGAAAAGCAUAUGGGCUACGAAGGGCAUUUUAGAGGAGGGACUAUUCUAGAAGGUAGGCAGGGGUACGAAUAUUUAAGUUCUGAAUGGCAUUUGGAUUCUUGAUGCAAGAAUUUUCAGAUUAUCAUCUUUGGUUAAUAAUUUGAGUGAUUUUAAAGUUGCUGAGUUAAUUGAUACCAGUAGCAGAAUGUGGAAUAAAAAAGAGUUGAUUGAUUCUACCUUUCCAGAUAAAGUAGCUGAUAGCAUUCUGCGCAUCCCGCUGGCAGUUGAACCUCACGAUGAUUUUCUGGCAUGGAGCGGUGAGCAUUCAGGAGAGUAUACAAUACGUAGUGCCUAUAAACUAUUACAAAGCAUUGAAGAAGAUCUUAGAUCUUAUGCUUUACAAACCGACUAUAAGGGAUUCUAUAAAAAAAAUUAUGGCUACUUAAUCUACCUUCAAAAAUAAAAAUUACAAUCUGGAAAAUAUCAUGUAACAAUCUCCCUAUACGGGUCAAUAUGCAACAUAGAAAGUUAACAAACACUACGAUAUGCCCCUGUUGUGAAAGUGGAGCAGAGACUAUGGACCAUCUAUUCCGGGAAUGUCCUGCUUCAGUAUUAGUAUGGAGAGAGUUAGCAUGUCAGACUUUUCUACUUGAACAUCAUUUAGAGUUUUUACAGUGGCUAACCUGGGUUUUUGAGCAAAGCACUUCAUUCCAGUAUAGGAUUUUUUGUUGCAUUUUAUGGGCAAUAUGGGGAGAUAGGAACGCAACAGUGCAUAGGAAGGCCAGCAAAUUUGGAAAAGAAAUAGUGAGUUUUGUUCACAAUUAUAUUUUAGAAUUAAAUGAGAUUGAAAAGAGAAGCCCUAAUGUCUUUUCAGUUGUCAGUGAAUGGAAGCACCCAUUCGAUCAUUUUGUGAAAAUCAACUUUGAUGCAGCAUAUGAUGGGAGAUUUUGUCAUUCGGCACUAGGGAUUGUGGUCAGAAAUAGUAAAGGCAAGGUUCUCUUAGCAUGCUCAGAAAUCCAUCAACAAGUUGCAUAAGCUUUUGCUGCUGAAGCACUCGCGUGUCAAAGAGCAACACAACUCGGAAUAGAUAUGAAAUGGAAAAACAUUAUCAUCGAAGGUGAUUCAUUAUCAAUAAUAAAAAAAUGCAAGACGAAUAGUCAAGAUAAGUCCCUGAUAGGUGCAUAUAUACAUGAUAUUCAAUAGAUCUUGUUUAAAUCUAGAAAAUGCAGAUUUGAAUACACUCCACGAACAGUAAAUAACCUAGCACACUCUAUUGCAAUCGAAACGUUGAAGAGUAAGAAGGAGAUUUACCUAAUAGGAAGAGUCCCCCAAUAUGUAGAAAAACAGAAAGAAAGGGAUAGUGUGAGAGAACCAGACUAAAAAUGAAAGGUAAAAGAUGAAGAAUGGAGAGUUUUGAAAUGGAAAUCAAUAGGUUCGGAGGAAAAGCUCUCCUUGGAAACUGGAAGCAUCUUUAAUAAGAAAUGGCAGAUGAUAAGACAAGACGAAUUCAAAUCGUUUUUCAGAUUAGGAAGAGUAAUGGCAUUUAAUGCGGUUUCUAGAGUAUUUUGAUAUUUUUUCUUAUUUUCUUG